rnacentral:rRNA from 1 species
GACGUAGGGCGCGAGCGUUGUCCGGAUUUAUUGGGCGUAAAGAGCUCGUAGGCGGCUUGUUGCGUCGACUGUGAAAACCCGGGGCUCAACCCGGGCUUGCGGUCGAUACGGGCAGGCUGGAGUUCGGUAGGGGAGACUGGAAUUCCUGGUGUAGCGGUGAAAUGCGCAGAUAUCAGGAGGAACACCGGUGGCGAAGGCGGGUCUCUGGGCCGAUACUGACGCUGAGGAGCGAAAGCGUGGGGAGCGAACAGG